GUGUUCCGCAUCCUGACUGGCUUAAGGGAUCGUAGACAAAUGUCAACAGUCUCCACGCCUCAUCGCUGGACAGCUAGCCAAAUUUACGUUUGCAACAAAAACAGCCUGCAGCCUGAAUCUGAACAACUCCAUCCCGCCACGCAUAGGCCGCGCUUCUGACGUCACCUCUGACCCAGCCGCUGGCUCGCUCCAUUCGCUCUCCCUGAACGUCUUCACAAGCGUGAGGAGGAUAAGCAGGGUGGAGUGUGAGACGUGACUGCGGAUUGGAGAACUAUACAAGCACCCCAUGCAAAUGAAACAAGACAUUCCCAUUCAACAAAGACAAUCACAACCCAACGCAUGAAAACGAAACAAAAUAAAUCAACAAAAAUAAGGUGGGUUCUUUUUUUAUGAUGUAUUUUUUUUUAAGCAUUUUUGUCAAAUUUUCUGCACGUAUUUGACCCUGAAUGACUAGGCUAACCCUAGUUUAAAACUAUACUGUGAAACCCUAACCGCAGUUUAAAACCCGACUUUGAAAGCCUGACCCUAUUUGAAAUCCCUUAUGUUGGAACCUUAACCCAAAUGUAAAACCCUACAUUUAAACCCUAACCCAAGUUUCAACCCUACUUUGACAAGCUAACCGUAACACUGUAUAUGUCAUGUGUGUCUUGAUUGUGUUCCAGCUGCAGCUGGAGCGAAAGGCGAUUCCCUCCAGCAGGUGCCGUGUGAGUUUCUCGACCUCUCGAUAUAUUCACUCACUCUUGUUUUUUCAUAGGCUCUUGUUUAUAAGUGUUUUUGUUAUUGUAGUAUUGCACAAGGGGUUCAUUUGCAAAGCGAUUUUGGUUUCACGCCUUGUUUUUCCUGACGCUUUGUGACCAGCGACUUCAGUUCAUACUUUGGUCAAUGCGAUUUUCUUUGGUAAAUAUUUUUGUGAUCACCCUUUGUCUGAGCGUGCAUCUUUGGAAUUCUUUCACAUUAUUUGAUUUGGUCACAACCUAACAAUAUAUAUAUAAAACCCUAACCCUGAUUCAAAACCCUGUUUUGUAAACCUACUUUAAAACCCUACUUUGAACCCCUAACCCAAGUUUAAAACCAUACUGUGAAACCCUAAAUCCAGUUUAAAGCCCCAACCCUAUUUUCA